UACGUAGGUGGCAAGCGUUGUCCGGAUUUACUGGGCGUAAAGAGCGCGCAGGCGGUCGUCCAAGUCGGAUGUGAAAGCCCCCGGCUCAACUGGGGAGGGUCAUUCGAUACUGUUCGACUCGAAGGCAGGAGAGGGAAGUGGAAUUCCGGGUGUAGUGGUGAAAUGCGUAGAUAUCCGGAGGAACACCAGUGGCGAAGGCGACUUCCUGGCCUGUUCUUGACGCUGAGGCGCGAAAGCUAGGGGAGCAAACGGG
rnacentral:rRNA from 1 species